rnacentral:rRNA from 1 species
CACACCGCCCGUCACACCAUGAAAGUUGUGCCUACCAGAAGUCAUUGCGUUAACCGUAAGGAGACAGGAUGCCCAAGGUAGGAACGAUGAUUGGGGUG